GUAAGAUACACAUUUGACCAGGGAAAAAACCCUAUAAAAAUGAAGAGAAUUAUCUAUUUAUAUAAUAGGUUUAUAAUAUGCACAAUAGUUUUAUCUUCCGUUAACAUAAAUAGAAGUUUUAAGUCUCUUUUUCUCUUUCAUCUCUCUAAAAACUCUGACAUCUUUUCUUCGUUUGGCUCCGGCGUUCGGAGACAUCGGCGGCCUCCGAUGCACAUUAGCUCUGGCGUCGGAGGCGCCUCCUCCUUCUCUCUCUUGUUUUUCUUCUUGCUUCUUCCUCUCCAUAUCGCCUCCGUUAUGUUUUGUCGAAACCCUAGAGCUGUCGGUGAAUUAAGGCUUUCUAGAUCUAGGCCCGGUGAUGGCACUUUUUGCAGCUGGCUUGACUCAGGGUUUCUAUUGGCGCGUUGAGAUGGUAGGGAUCUUUGGGCUAUGUUUGCUUGUCUUUCUCCGAGUCGGGAUGGUGUUUCAGUCGGCGGCGAUCUUUCUCCGCUUUGGUGUCUCGGCAUGGAGAACCCUUACGCUGCCCUCAAGGUGGACCUCGAAGGUUCUUCUCUUCCGGGUGUGCAACAGGGCUAUCCUGGCAGUGUCAGUUGGCAUUCCCCGUCGGCGCGUGUGGUGUCAAACAUUUGUUACUGGCGCGUGGAGUUGUCUAUGCUUUGGCGAUGGCAUAUUUUGAGUGCUUCUCCGUUCUUUUCCCUUCUCGUCCUUUGGUUUUGUUGGUAGUGUCCCCGUCGCUGGAUAGCGCUAUCUUUGUGUCUCGUGUCCAUGAUAGCGCUGACAGAUUUUGAACCGAUUGGUGUUAGGAAUUUAGGAUGUACCCAUUUUAUUCAAUUUCAUGUUUGUAUAUUGUUUUGUAUAUCCAUUUGAUUGAUUAAAUGGAAUAAAAAGUAAAUAUUAAAAAAAAAGUUUUGAGUCGUAUCUGAAAUAAACAAAAGAAAAACAAAUAAAAUAAAAUAAUGGGACAUAAAUUAAUAUGUCAACAGAAACGCGGCUUGGGUCAUGUCAUGUUAUUUUAUUUUCCGACAAGUAGUGCUUUCUUUACUUUUAGCGUCAUCGUCGAUGAUAUCAUAUACUGUAGUAUAAGUUUUAUGUUAACCCAAUCAAAUAAUUGCAUCUAUAUUGCUCCAAGGUUAAUAGUUACAAAAAUAUUUAUUUAUAACUAUGUAUAUAUAUGUUUUUGUUACGAUUAAAAUUAAACCGCAUUUGUUCUAUAUGUUGCUAUUCGGACGCUAAACUAUAUUUAAAUAGUAAUAUUAUUUUUUUAUACAAAUAUUUGAUAUUUAAGAUUGUUCACACAUUAAAAAUAAUAUUUACUUUUGUCUAUUACUUUCAGUUAGUUUAAAAUUUUCUCCAUAAAAUUUAAUCACCUGCAUUUUUACAUUUUAGUUUAUGUUUUACUUUUAAAACAAAAUACAUUAAUAAACUAGACAUCAACUCUCGACAAACUUAUCAGUUUAUGACUACUUUAACAUCUUAAAAUAGUAAAUUAAAAUUCAACGAUUAAUAUUAUUUAUUUGCCAAUUAAACUGGUUUACGAUUUAUGAGUAAAGCCAUCUUGUUUACCGUAUAUCUAUAUAAAUAAAGCAGAAUUUUCUCUCACCUCAGCCCUCCACCUCAUCAAGAGCAUAGGGGCAAUUCAUGACACAUGUCCUCAUAUUCUUAAGUCUGUGUAUAUGCUCUGUCGAACAUUAUUUUUUGGGCUCUAAUUAAAUUCAGUAAAUUUACAAACCAUGCCCAUCUUUAUUAGGGUUUCGUUCACUCACUGAAAUUCUGAGUGAGUUCAAGCGACGUGCCUCUGUGGAUCUCCAGUCCUCUGAGCAAAGCCUAUGUAAAUUCUUUCAUUCUUGGCUAUCAUCUUUUUUAAUCCAAGCAUCAAGGUGGUUCUCACCACUCCUGCCAUUCUCUUGCAUUUAAACGUCCUCAUCAUUAAAGGUUACCGUUCGAAGCUCCGUCUAUAAAUUGAUUCCUUGCAAGCUAUGAACAUCCUCACAGCUACGAAAUCCAAAAAGUCAAACUCUGUCAAGCAUCAACUCCUACCAUGGUGAAUUUGAAAGCUAGUCCGCCUUCUGAGGUUCUGAGAGGCAAAAAAAGUGAAGAAAGACGGGGCGUUGACAUGCUCUUGCUGGAUGAAAAGAUAACUGAGUUUUUCUGUACCACCAAAGUAACUGGUAUCAAAACAAGUAAAAGAUGGUGUUAUAUUGGUUGCUCGAAAUGUACAAAGAGGUUUCAAAGAGAGAUUUCUUCUUUCACAUGCGUCUUAUGUGAUAUGUGGGUGUCCUAAGGUAAUGGUCCUAUAUAUUUAUGCUCCACCAAAUAUUAUAUUCCACUUCUAUAUAUAUACUUACACUAUUAUACUUUCUUGCAUCUCUACCCUGCCUACAUGUUAUCGUGUGGAGCGUGUGUAUGUGUAUCAGACCGGACAAAUGAUGCAGUCUUUGUGGCUUUUGAUAUGGAGAUGGACAAGUUAACCAACCUUCAAACUGAAGUUGCACAUAUUUUGGUUACAGGUGUCGAUGCUCAUGUGGACACGAACUCCCCCCGUUUGUUGCUGAUAUUGUUGGAAAGACUUCACUUUCCAGCUCAAGCUAAGAGAGUUCAAUUUUACUUCCACACACCAAACUUCACCACUUCCUGUAUCAUCACUGAGCUUCAGCGAGCACCACUGCUAGCCUUUGUUGUUGAUGUUGGUACCUUAUAUAGAGCUCCAAUAUAUAUUUUUAUAAACAAUAUAAUCAUGUUAAUUAUUGGGUUGUAAACAGGGAGGUAACAAUGGUUCUGGACCUUCUGGUGGUGAUAAGCCUGGAGGGAAUCCAUUAGCAUCUAAGGUCUCUGCUGAUGACAAUAACGCUAUUGUUGAGGCAGCAUGUGUGGUGUGACAACAGAACUCGGAGUCAACAAUCAACCAUCCUCGGCAGCCGUCCAGCAUCAACCAAACCGAUAAUUGGCUCAAAUGAGAGUGGAAAGAAGAAAGCACGCAUAGCAUAGCCCGACAUGGAAAACUCAAAGCCCCACUAACUUUUCUAAUGUUUUUUUUUUCCAUUUGGUUAUCAAACAGUGCUUUAGCAACUCUAUCUAUUUUUUUAUUAAACGGAAUGUAGUGGUGGAUGUUUUAAUUAUUAAAGUAAGUUUUUACUAAACAUGUCUUCCUUCCUUUUUGUUCUGAUGAAGUGUCUUAUGCAAAUUAACCAUUGACCAGAUAAUGUUUUCCGCUUGACAAAUUCAGUGAAAAAGCUAAGUUUGAAAUCUCAAAACUAUUCAUCAAUAACUAUUAAUAGUACAUGAAUGAUCAGUUGUGUUAACAUCAUAUGAAUUUUCCUUCGCAGUCUAAAAAUAUCAAAGUUCUAAAAUCUGUGAUUGUCUAUACUCCAGAUUGGCCUACACAAUCUCGUCUAGACUGGCCUACACAAUCUCGUCUAGACAAAAGAAUGAAGCUUUACCCAGAAUAUUUUAUCUGGUCAAAAGCGUAACGACAAGAAAAUAAAUUGCGACGA